CGGGGAGGCAGUACGACCCUCGGGAGCCUCUGCCUCCGCCCUUUGGCCUUGGUCCCUGACCGUGAACGCCCCAGGCCCAGGGACCUCCUUCGGCAGAUGAGGGCUGGCAGAGACCUGGGGGGCGCAGACUCCUGAGGCAGGAGGGCUAUUCCUUGUGCAUCCCAGGACUUUACCCGUGAUCGUGAACAUGAACGUGUUUUCAACCCCUGCUGUUUCCCCAGCGCCUCAUCCCUCCUGCUAGGAGUCAUUCCCGAAGCCUGUAUUGAGAUUCUGGUUGUGCCUGCCAGUCUGAGCCCGGUAAAGAGAGAAGAAAACGCGAGUCACUGGUCUGAGGGAGUGUAGACAGAAACCCUCAAAGGAAGCCCGUUGUCCUAACAGAGCACACACAUUGGUGAAGUGACGGGGAAGGUUUCUGCUGUGUGCAACAUAAGGGGGACUCGCCCUUCUGGAUUUGAAACCUCAACUUGUUCCCAAUUUUGAGACUUUCAGACUCAGACAAUGAACAUCACCUUCAGUAAAAAGGCAUGAGUUGAGACUCCUCCAGAAUUAGUUCUGGACAAAACUGUGAUCAUCUCCCCUCCCACCCCAUGCUUUUACACCCUAAGCCCCCCUCCUUACCUGUCCUGAUCCUUAGGAGCCCCAAAAUGACCUAAAAUUUUUCUCUGGCAGUCUAGGGUGCUUCACUUUAGCAUUCUUCUGUGGUGAACAUUACCUGCCACUCACGCUGGUUCCCACAUGCCAAGCUAAUUUCAACAACGGAUGAAGUGGGUACCUCCAUGUGAUGGCUGAGGAAACAGGUUCUGGGUGUUGCAACUAAGCUUCAUGGAGGCAGCCAUGACAGAGCAGAGCCUUCCAUCCUUCUGUCCAGGUCGGCAGCCUCUCCCAAAGCAGGACUCCAUGGGCCAGGCUCUUUCCACCCCCACCCUGCUUCUUCAGGCCAAUUCUUACAUGAGAGAACUCCUCUUAUUGGGGGCUACCUUCCACACCAGACUCUCCAGAGUACAUCUUUACAGCUCUAUAAUCUUCUGGCAUUUAUUUACAUUGUCUAAUAAUUUCCUGGAAAUACACUUAGUAUUUUUAGUUAUAAGAAGAAUUGAAAAACAAUAUUGCUAUUCUAGAAGAAGUGCAUUUAUUUAUUUUGCAUUUGCAGUUCACCCAGAGGCUGGCUGUGCAGACAAAUGCUUGGGAAGGACAGGGCUCUCUAAAGUGAUUCUAGCCUGAGCAAUUUCCAAAGUGCUGAGUUGAGACAGCUGAGGAGCACAAUUAGUGUAAAAGAAAGACUACAGAUGGAACAGUUCAUGUCAUUUGAAGCAUAAUUAUUAGAAUAGACAUCAAGAAUUUAAGGCAAGCAUCAUAUAUAUAUCAAGUAGGGAGGAGAACUUAUUAGUAACAUUAAGCAAGAGGAAGAAAUAAUUGUUUUAAACCUACUGGAAGCAUUAAGUAUGAAGAAAGUAAUAAAAUAAAGGGCACAUUGAAGGAAUGAAUAGCAGAAUGUAGCACAACAGUGUGACUAUUGUCAAUAAUAAUUAAUUGUACAUUUUAAAAAUAACUCAAAGAGCAUGAUUGAAUUGUUAGUAACACAAAAGAUAAAAGCUUGAAAGGAAGGAUACCUCAUUCUCCAUGAU
rnacentral:lncRNA from 1 species